UACGAAGGGUGCAAGCGUUAAUCGGAAUUACUGGGCGUAAAGGGUGCGUAGGCGGUUAUUUAAGUCUGCCGUGAAAUCCCCGGGCUCAACCUGGGAAUGGCGGUGGAUACUGGAUAGCUAGAGUGUGGCAGAGGAUGGUGGAAUUCCCGGUGUAGCGGUGAAAUGCGUAGAGAUCGGGAGGAACAUCAGUGGCGAAGGCGGCCAUCUGGGACAACACUGACGCUGAAGCACGAAAGCGUGGGGAGCAAACAGG
rnacentral:rRNA from 1 species